rnacentral:rRNA from 1 species
GAGUUUGAUCAUGGCUCAGAACGAACGCUGGCGGCAGGCUUAACACAUGCAAGUCGAGGGAGAAGCGGAUCUUCGGGUCCGUGGAAACCGGCGCACGGGUGAGUAACGCGUGGGAAUCUGUCCUGGAGUGGGGGAUAACCGCUGGAAACGGCGGCUAAUACCGCAUACGCCCUUAGGGGGAAAGAUUUAUCGCUCUGGGAUGAGCCCGCGUCCGAUUAGCUCGUUGGUGGGGUAACGGCCCACCAAGGCUACGAUCGGUAGCUGGUCUGAGAGGAUGGUCAGCCACACUGGGACUGAGACACGGCCCAGACUCCUACGGGAGGCAGCAGUGGGGAAUAUUGGACAAUGGGCGCAAGCCUGAUCCAGCCAUGCCGCGUGAGUGAAGAAGGCCUUAGGGUUGUAAAGCUCUUUCACCCGUGAAGAUGAUGACGGUAGCGGGAGAAGAAGCCCCGGCUAACUCCGUGCCAGCAGCCGCGGUAAUACGGAGGGGGCGAGCGUUGUUCGGAAUUACUGGGCGUAAAGGGCGCGUAGGCGGGCUGGCCAGUCAGGGGUGAAAGUCCUGGGCUCAACCCGGGGACUGCCUUUGAAACUGCCAGUCUUGAGUCCCGGGAGAGGAUGGCGGAAUUCCCAGUGUA